GUAAUGCCGGAUGCUCCGACUCCUCGCAUGGGGUGUCGGGAAAGAUUUCAUCGGUAUGGGAUGGGGUCGCGUCCUAUCAGGUAGUCGGCGGGGUAACGGCCCACCGAGCCUACGACGGGUAGCCGGCCUGAGAGGGCGACCGGCCACAUUGGGACUGAGAUACGGCCCAGACUCCUACGGGAGGCAGCAGUGGGGAAUAUUGCACAAUGGGCGCAAGCCUGAUGCAGCGACGCCGCGUGCGGGAUGACGGCCUUCGGGUUGUAAACCGCUUUUGAUCGGGAGCAAGCCUUCGGGUGAGUGUACCUUUCGAAUAAGCACCGGCUAACUACGUGCCAGCAGCCGCGGUAAUACGUAGGGUGCAAGCGUUAUCCGGAAUUAUUGGGCGUAAAGGGCUCGUAGGCGGUUCGUCGCGUCCGGUGUGAAAGUCCAUCGCUUAACGGUGGAUCUGCGCCGGGUACGGGCGGGCUGGAGUGCGGUAGGGGAGACUGGAAUUCCCGGUGUAACGGUGGAAUGUGUAGAUAUCGGAA
rnacentral:rRNA from 1 species